CACAUCACGUUGAAAUAUCGGUCCCCAUAUGAUCACCGAAUUUAAGCAACGUCGAGCCUGGUUAUUACCUAAAUGGGUGACAACUUGGGAAUACCAGGCGCUGUAA